rnacentral:rRNA from 1 species
CCUACGGGGGGNNNUGCAGUAGGGAAUCUUCCGCAAUGGGCGAAAGCCUGACGGAGCAAUGCCGCGUGAGUGAUGAAGGUUUUCGGAUCGUAAAGCUCUGUUGCCAGGGAAGAACGCUUGGGAGAGUAACUGCUCUCAAGGUGACGGUACCUGAGAAGAAAGCCCCGGCUAACUACGUGCCAGCAGCCGCGGUAAUACGUAGGGGGCAAGCGUUGUCCGGAAUUAUUGGGCGUAAAGCGCGCGCAGGCGGUCAUUUAAGUCUGGUGUUUAAUCCCGGGGCUCAACCCCGGAUCGCACUGGAAACUGGGUGACUUGAGUGCAGAAGAGGAGAGUGGAAUUCCACGUGUAGCGGUGAAAUGCGUAGAUAUGUGGAGGAACACCAGUGGCGAAGGCGACUCUCUGGGCUGUAACUGACGCUGAGGCGCGAAAGCGUGGGGAGCAAACAGGAUUAGAUACCCCCRGGUAGUCA